GGGUCAGUGAUUACGGUGAAUACUCACCUCGACUUCGUCUCGGUGGAUAUUCACCGAUAAUCACUUCGCCUUCGGCGAAUAAUUGUUAAAUAUACGCCGAGACGAAGUCGAGGUGAAUAUUCCCCGAUAAUCACAAAG